AUUCUUUCAUCUUUUUGUUUCAGCUGUCUCCACUGCAGUGUCCGCACUCUGUUGGAAAUCACAACAUUUACUGGAAUCAGAACGACCAAGACAACGACACCCGCUAAAGUGGCCACUCCUGCAAAGAUACAAGGAAGUACAUGCACGCUAUGAUGGAUAAUAGAGUUGUCCAACUGAGGUGCAAGUAUACAGUUGUGUCGACUAACCGUUGAGCAUCCACCGCCAUCACGUUCACAAUCUCACCGAAGGAUCUGGUCUUCCUGGCAGAGCUGGAGAUACGGAGAGCCUAGACAAGCAUUGUCAUCAUUUAUAUGACCUACAGUAUUGAAAAACAAUUCUUUGCCUAUGAAAGGUUUUGGAAAGGCAAUGGAAUCAACUUGGCAUGUUUUCCUUCAAGGUUUUAAGGCUAUUGUUUGGGUAUUUAGCCAUUGGCUCUUAUAGUAGCUUUCAGAUACCACAUUCUUCAUUCUAGAUUGCAUACAUAGACGUAUAUGAAAUAUUUAAUAUGUAUAUCAGUAAAAAAAAUAUAUAAAAAAAUAACAUAA